rnacentral:rRNA from 1 species
UGCGUAGGCGGUUUGGUAAGUCUUUUGUGAAAACUCCGGGCUCAACUCGGAGCUUGCAGGAGAAACUGCCGGGCUUGAGUGUGGGAGAGGUGAGUGGAAUUCCUGGUGCAGCGGUGAAAUGCGUAGAUAUCAGGAGGAACACCUGUGGCGAAAGCGGCUCACUGGACCACAACUGACGCUGAUGCACGAAAGCUAGGGGAGCAAACAGGAUUAGAUACCCUGGUAGUCCUAGCCCUAAACGAUGACUGCUUGGUGUGACGGGUACCCAAUCCCGCCGUGCCGUAGCUAACGCGUUAAGCAGUCCGCCUGGGGAGUACGGUCGCAAGGCUGAA